rnacentral:rRNA from 1 species
AGAGUUUGAUCCUGGCUCAGAACGAACGCUGGCGGCGGGGCUUAGGCAUGCAAGUCGAGCGAGAAAGCCGAAAGGCGAGUAAAGCGGCGUAAGGGUGAGUAAUGGGUAGUCAACGUACCGAGCUGACGCGAAUAAUCCUCCGAAAGGAGUUGUAAUGCGCGAUGAGACCACGCUGCCUUCGGGCAGAGGGGUCAAAGGUCGGGGAUCCUUCGGGACCUGGCGCAGUUUGAGCGGACUACCUCUGAUUAGCUAGUUGGCGGGGUAACGGCCCACCAAGGCGAUGAUCAGUAGCCGGCCUGAGAGGGUGUUCGGCCACACUGGGACUGAGACACUGCCCAGACUCCUACGGGAGGCUGCAGUCGCGAAUCAUUCACAAUGGACGCAAGUCUGAUGAUGCCACGCCGCGUGCGGGAUGAAGGCCCUCUGGGUUGUAAACCGCUGUCAAGGGAGGGGAACCGCCAGCUGUGAAUAGCAGUUGGUCUGACUGCUCCCUAAAGGAAGCCCCGGCAAAAUAUGUGCCAGCAGCCGCGGUAAUACAUGUGGGGCAAGCGUUGUUCGGAAUUACUGGGCAUAAAGGGUGCGUAGGUGGUUUGUUAAGUCACGGGUGAAAGUUUUCGGCUCAACCGGAAAAUUGCCCGUGAUACUGGCGAACUUGAGUGCGUGAGGGGUAACCGGAACGAGCAGUGUAGCGGUGAAAUGCGUAGAUAUUGCUCGGAAGGCCAGAGGCGAACGCGGGUUACUGGUGCGCAACUGACACUGAGGCACGAAAGCGGGGGGAGCAAACAGGAUUAGAUACCCUGNNAGUCC